rnacentral:misc_RNA from 1 species
AAGUCGUAACAAGGUAACCGUAGGUGAACCUGCGGUUGGAUCAUUAAACAAACCAAGGUGGAGAGCGGAUGGCUGGGCGGCAUCAAGUCGUCCUCCCCAUUUUGCUCUCGAUCGCCACACAUCUUGUGAACCCUCAAACCCGUCCGGCGGGGGAGGAAUGGGAGGCUCUUACAAGUCUCCCAUUCCUCCGUCAGUGCAGGCAUGUUCGUCAUGUUCUGCACCGUGGACAACCCGCCCACCCCAACCCUUCCAGCCUUCGGGUCGAAGGGGUUGGUUUUGCCCAACUUUUUGGAUCUUUACGAAUUGUGAAUUGUCUCUGAGAAUGCGAUGGUUGCAAUUGCACCGUCUUUUGGAAACAAACAUUCAAAAACAACUUUUGGCAACGGAUCUCUUGGCUCUC